rnacentral:rRNA from 1 species
UACGAAGGGGGCGAGCGUUGUUCGGAUUUACUGGGCGUAAAGGGCGCGUAGGCGGCCCGCUAAGUCGAACGUGAAAUCCCCGAGCUCAACUCGGGAACUGCGUCCGAUACUGGCGGGCUUGAAUCCGGGAGAGGGAUGCGGAAUUCCGUGGUGUAGCGGUGAAAUGCGCAGAUAUCAGGAGGAACACCGGUGGCGAAGGCGGGGUCUCUGGGCAACAACUGACGCUGGAGGAGCGAAAGCGUGGGGGAGCAACAGG